rnacentral:rRNA from 1 species
GAUGAACGCUGGCGGCGUGCCUAAUACAUGCAAGUCGAGCGAACGGACGAGAAGCUUGCUUCUCUGAUGUUAGCGGCGGACGGGUGAGUAACACGUGGAUAACCUACCUAUAAUACUGGGAUCAUUUCGGGAAACCGGAUCUAAUACCGGAUAAUAUUCUGAUCCGCAUGGUUCGAAAGUGAGAGUCGGUCUUGCUGUCACUAAUAGAUGGAUCCGCGCUGCAUUAGCUAGUUGGUAAGUUAACGGCUUAUGAAGGCAACGAUGCAUAGCCGACCUGAGAGGGUGAUCGGCCACACUGGAGCUGAGACACGGUCCAGACUACUACGAGAGGCAGCAGUAGGGAAUCUUCCGCAGUGGGCGAAAGCCUGACAGAGCGACGCCGCGUGAGUGAUAACGGCGUUCGGAGCGUAAAGAUCUGUUAUUAGGGGUGAACAGAUGUGUAAGUAAAUGUGCACAUCUUGACGGUACCGAAUCAGAAAGCACCGGCUAACUACGUG